rnacentral:rRNA from 1 species
GCCCGCUCAGAAACUUAAAUAGAAUGACGGGGCCCGCACAAGCGGUGGAGCAUGUGGUUUAAUUCGAUGAUACGCGAGGAACCUUACCUGGGCUCAAAUGUAUGUUGACGUAUUCUGAAAGGGAUACUUUUCGGACAAUAUACAAGGUGCUGCAUGGUUGUCGUCAGCUCGUGCCGUGAGGUGUCGGGUUAAGUCCCGCAACGAGCGCAACCCCUGCAUUCAGUUGCCAUCGGGUGAAGCCGGGCACUCUGGAAGGACUGCCAUCGACAAGAUGGAGGAAGGUGGGGACGACGUCAAGUCAUCAUGGCCCUUAUGUCCAGGGCGACACACGUGCUACAAUGGCCGGCACAACGGGAAGCGAGUUCGCGAGGACGAGCGGAUCCCUUAAAGCCGGUCGCAGUUCGGAUUGAAGUCUGCAACUCGACUUCAUGAAGCUGGAAUCGCUAGUAAUCGCAGAUCAGCCAAGCUGCGGUGAAUACGUUCCCGGGCCUU